rnacentral:rRNA from 1 species
GAUCAUGGCUCAGGAUGAACGCUAGCUACAGGCUUAACACAUGCAAGUCGAGGGGCAGCAUUUUGGUUGCUUGCAACCAAUGAUGGCGACCGGCGCACGGGUGAGUAACGCGUAUCCAACCUUCCCCUUACUCAGGAAUAGCCCGUUGAAAGACGGAUUAAUGCCUGAUGUUUCUUUUUCCGCAUGUUAUUUGAACUAAAGAUUUAUCGGUAACGGAUGGGGAUGCGUGACAUUAGGUAGAUGGCGGGGUAACGGCCCACCAUGCCCACGAUGUCUAGGGGUUCUGAGAGGAAGGUCCCCCACACUGGAACUGAGACACGGUCCAGACUCCUACGGGAGGCAGCAGUGAGGAAUAUUGGUCAAUGGUCGGAAGACUGAACCAGCCAAGUAGCGUGAAGGAUGAAGGUUCUAUGGAUUGUAAACUUCUUUAUACGGGAAUAAAACCUCCCACGUGUGGGAGCUUGUAUGUACCGUAUGAAUAAGCAUCGGCUAACUCCGUG